AGGUCUCCAGUAGAUCACUUUGUAGCUGUGGAUGAGAUCCUCACCCUCCUCCUCCACUUCCCAAGUGCUGCUAGGGUUACAGGCGCAGUACACCCACCUGUGCUUGGUGUCUGAGGAAGCCAGGAGAUGAUCCUGGAUACCUUGGCACUGGAGUUUGUAGAUGGCGAACCAAUCCUGAGUCCUCUGCAAGAGCAACAAGUACCCUUCCUGUUGAGGCAUCCCCGGUUAACGUUUCUAAAGCUCGUCGAGCAGUUCCCAGCACAGAGCAAAUAAAGGGAAGGUGGACUGCUUAACUCACCUCAUGCCAAAGCAUCUUUCAAUAAGAAGGCAUCAGCAGACGACAGUACAAGAGACGAGAUGACUGUCAGAAUCCUAUUCUUUUAUUUCCGUACAAGCCAUGAGAUUUCCUGCCCUGCUCCAUCUUCGAACCUUACAGUUUUAGAAAUCUGAUGGGUCUACUACUCACGGUGCAAAUAAAAUU
rnacentral:lncRNA from 1 species